GAUGAACGCUAGCGGCAGGCCUAAUACAUGCAAGUCGAACGAUACCAGAGAGCUUGCUUUCUGGGAAAGUGGCGCACGGGUGCGUAACGCGUAUGCAACCUACCUUAAUCAGGGGGAUAGCCUCUCGAAAGAGAGAUUAACACCGCAUAACAUCAUUUUACGGCAUCGUAGAAUGAUCAAAUAUUUAUAGGAUUAAGAUGGGCAUGCGUGACAUUAGGUAGUUGGUGAGGUAACGGGUAACCAAGGCUACGAUGUCUAGGGGAUCUGAGAGGAUGACCCCCCAAACCGGUACUGAGACACGGACCAGACUCCUACGGGAGGCAGCAGUAAGGAAUAUUGGUCAAUGGAGGCAACUCUGAACCAGCCAUGCCGCGUGCAGGAAGACGGCCCUAUGGGUUGUAAACUGCUUUUAUACGGGAAUAAACCUCUCUACGUGUAGGGAGUUGAAUGUACUGUAAGAAUAAGGAUCGGCUAACUCCGUGCCAGCAGCCGCGGUAACAC
rnacentral:rRNA from 1 species